rnacentral:rRNA from 1 species
GACAGAGGUGCCAAGCGUUAGGCGGAAUCACUGGGCUUAAAGCGUGUGUAGGCGGGUCGUUAAGUACCUUGUGAAAUCCCCCGGCUCAACCGGGGAACGGCUGGGUAUACUGGCGAUCUUGAGCCACCUAGGGGCAGUCGGAACAAGUGGUGGAGCGGUGAAAUGCGUAGAUAUCCACAGGAACUCCGGUGGCGAAGGCGGCACGCUGGACCCUCACUGACGCUGAGGCGCGAAAGCCAGGGGAGCGAACGGG